rnacentral:lncRNA from 1 species
GUGGAAACCACCAACCAAUUGGAAGGUGACUAGGGUGAAUAUAGCCCAAGGAACUUGCAAAACUCUUUGGAGGGCCAAGGAGUAAAGGACUUCAUUCAGGGUGUGACAUGGUGGGCCACACCCAUCAACAGAAUCUCAGCCAGGGCUUCAGAACUAAUGUAAAAAGUGAAAAAAUCUUAUAACUCAGUUACAAAGACUUAGUUUUACUGCUAAUAAUGAACGUGGAACUUAUAGUCCUUUGCCUUCUACUCUGUCCAAAUCUGAUGAGUUAUUUUAGCCUAGAAAGUUCCAUAAAAUGUAUACCACCAAAAAGAAAAAUUCUGACUGCAGGGAAGCAGUACACUCUGUAGACCCCGGAGAAAAAUAAAUCACCAUGAGAUUUGACAACAAUCAAUUUUUCACUGCACGCUAAUCAAGCAGAUAGAAAGAAGGCCAUGUAUAUGCGGACUUCACAGAAUUUUCCAUUUUGCCUGAACCAGUGCAAGCCAAGCACAAUGUGACUCACACAGCUGUCUACAUUGGACAUCAACCACAAACAGACUCAUAGCCCAAGGCCCAUUUGGAAGAGUCCUCUUGGCUAACCACUGAUAGAGAACAGCCUGGAGCAGCCUUGAGAAGCCCCUGUGGUGAAAACACAUCAAUGUCAGCUUUAAACUGGGGGCUUGUUUUAAGCGUAAACUAAUUUUUCCAGUUUCUCCCUUACUUUACCUUUUCAUAACCAC